rnacentral:ncRNA from 5 species
UAUAAAGUAUUUUACUUUUAUUAGAA